CGAGAUGUUGUCUUCCUUGUUUAUGCGCAGGUGCGUUUCUCGUGGAUGUUUUUUGCAGGGGCGGUGCCCGUCUUCCUCUCGUUCUUCAUCACGACGCUGCUGUGCCACUACAACAACUGGGAUCCGGUCAUGGUGGGGCUGAGGAGACUCUAUGCCUUUGUUUUUAGAAGACAUCGUGCUCACAGGCUCCCCGACGACCAGGAGCUGUGUGAAAGCCUUUUACCGUUACACGCCGUCUCCCUGAACCAAGGAAGCCUGUGCUCAUGAUCUGCGCUUCAAGUGUCCAACAUCUGCUCCCAAGAGGUCUGAGGGACAAAGACUCACCCACCCCCGUGCCUCCUAUUUGAAUGCGCCGCUUGCUUCGGCGUGACGGAGUUCUUUCUUUUUUUUUUUUUGAAAUUGUGUCUCUAAAAACUGGAGCGCAACUGAAGGUGCUGGACAUGGCCGAUCGUCAUCAUUACGAUGACGACGACGGCGAUGAUGAUGAUGCUGCGAGGUGACCAAAUGAAGAGGUACGUUUCCAGUUGGGCGGGCCGCCAACAGAGGAAGUGACCAGGAGUCAAGUGUGCAUUCUUUCACAUUUGCCACCGACUCUUUUUUUUUAAUUGCUUUUUGCCUUUCGUUCUCAUGCCUUGAUGAGAUAGAAACCCUGUUUGCAAAAUAUCAGCUUGGAAAGGAUAUCAACAACACGAUGUUCGACCUCUGUUUACAUCGCGGGUCAAAUUGACCCAUUUUUUUGGUUUAAAAAAAAAAAGUUUGACGGUAGCAAACUUCUGCUCAGCUUAACCUGUUUACUCAGCGCCUGCCACAAAUAUUUUGGGGGGGGGGUUUCAUUGAUUGCACUUUUAGACUAAAGACAGUGCUCGUCAAAUUGACCAAUUUUCAAGUUCAAAAAAAAGUUUUUUCAGUGUGAAACUCCUGCGCGGCCGAAUAAGUGUAAGCCCCAUUUCCAAAAUCUGCCAAUAUCUGAAGAUAUCAGUUGUCUUUCUCAGGAUUUUUUUUUUUUUUUUUUGCAUGUUAACCCAUCCCCAGAGUAAAAGAAUGUGCAAAAAAAAACCCCACAUGCCAAUAUUUGGUAGAUCACUUGAGGACAAACAAUUUCAAUCACACACACGAUUGUUUCUAAGAAGUUUCACAUUGAAAAAAGUACUUUGAACUUGUAUUUUGUGAACUUUGAAGUGGGUCAACUCGGCCCGACGCUGAACUGUCGCUCCCGCUUCCACGAUAAGCUACGCGGCUGCUUUUGAGAAACGUCCGUUGAAGGUAAAGGAUUUUUGCUGACGACACUUUCCUGUUGUUCGAUUUUCUGUGUCGCUGUCAUUGAGCACUUCCAGGACCAGCCAAAUCGUUUUGUUUUUUUUUUUUUCUGAUGUGAAUAUUGAGCCGGUGACUUCCCAGUAAGGAGAAGAAGAAAACGUGUCACACGUUGCUGUUGUUGUGCUCGCUAAAUGAACCAGCCAGCAUUGGUUCAGCACUUGAAAGACAAACCGCGUUCGCUCUUGUGACUUGGUGUACUCCAGUCCUGUUUUUUUUUUUUGGGUCGGGGGGGGCUUCCAAUGUUUGUUUGUUUUUUGCUUUGGGUACACCGCCAAUCAAAGAAAACACUAUCUUGAAGAAUGUUCAUUGUUUGUUCAGCCAUUAUGUUUCACGUCUCAGGUAGUUUGGCUUGAUUGUUGGUCCAAAAAAAAAAA